rnacentral:tRNA from 1 species
GGGUCGGUGCCCGAGAGGCUAAAGGGGACGGGCUGUAAACCCGUUAGCGUAAGCUUACGCAGGUUCGAAUCCUGCCCGGCCCA